rnacentral:misc_RNA from 1 species
GCAAACUUGGUCAUUUAGAGGAAGUAAAAGUCGUAACAAGGUUUCCGUAGGUGAACCUGCGGAAGGAUCAUUAUUGAAUAAACUUGGUUAGGUUGCUUGCUGGCUCUUAGGAGCAUGUGCACGCCUAUUCCAUCUUUAAACCCCUGUGCACCUUUUGUAGUUCUGAAGAACGUUCGAAGAUGUGAAUGUCUUCGGUCGGAGAAUUGCUGCGUCGAAAGACCAGCUUUUCUUGUAGUUCAGAUCUACGUUUUCUACACACACCUUAAAAUGUACUCGAAUGUUGUUAGCAGGCCUUUUGUGCCUCGAAUAAAACAAAUACAACUUUCAACAACGGAUCUCUUGGCUCUCGCAUCGAUGAAGAACGCAGC